rnacentral:rRNA from 1 species
AGCGAACGCUGGCGGCAGGCUUAACACAUGCAAGUCGAGCGCCCCGCAAGGGGAGCGGCAGACGGGUGAGUAACACGUGGGAACGUACCCUUUGGUUCGGAACAACCCAGGGAAACUUGGGCUAAUACCGGAUACGUCCGUAAGGAGAAAGAUUUAUCGCCAAAGGAUCGGCCCGCGUCUGAUUAGCUAGUUGGUGAGGUAAUGGCUCACCAAGGCUACGAUCAGUAGCUGGUCUGAGAGGAUGAUCAGCCACAUUGGGACUGAGACACGGCCCAAACUCCUACGGGAGGCAGCAGUGGGGAAUAUUGGACAAUGGGGGCAACCCUGAUCCAGCCAUGCCGCGUGAGUGAUGAAGGCCCUAGGGUUGUAAAGCUCUUUUAGCAGGGAAGAUAAUGACGGUACCUGCAGAAAAAGCCCCGGCUAACUUCGUGCCAGCCGCCGCAGUAA